GGAGCGCUGGAAUCCGUUUAGCAGGAGCUACAGCUGAUGUUCAUUGUUAUGAUGUGCUAACAAAUAAGUGGUCAAGGCUCACUCCUCUUGGAGAGCCUCCAUCUCUGA